GCGCCGUUAGUUUAGUGGUAGAAUACAAGGUAAUUCGCACGUCUUGUGAAGGGCGGUCCGGACUUUGCUGAUAGAAAAAGUUUCCCAUCUCAAGCAUGAUGCUUACUUGUGGUCCUGGUUCGAUUCCUGGACGGCGCA
rnacentral:tRNA from 1 species